GGGUGAGUAAUAUAUAAGUAAUCUACCUAUGGGAUUGGAAUAACUCCGAGAAAUCGGGGCUAAUACCAAAUAACGCAGCGGCACCGCAUGGUGAUGUUGUUAAAGUGAUUUAUCACGCCUAUAGAUGAGCUUGUCUCCGAUUAGUUUGUUGGUAAGGUAAUGGCUUACCAAGACUACGAUCGGUAGCUGGUCUGAGAGGAUGAUCAGCCACACUGGAACUGAGACACGGUCCAGACUCC
rnacentral:rRNA from 1 species